rnacentral:rRNA from 1 species
UACGGAGGGGGCUAGCGUUGUUCGGAAUUACUGGGCGUAAAGCGCACGUAGGCGGCUUUGCAAGUUAGAGGUGAAAGCCCGGGGCUCAACUCCGGAAUUGCCUUUAAAACUGCAUCGCUAGAAUUGUGGAGAGGUAAGUGGAAUUCCGAGUGUAGAGGUGAAAUUCGUAGAUAUUCGGAAGAACACCAGUGGCGAAGGCGGCUCACUGGCCCGUUACCGACGCUCAGGCGCGACAGCGUGGGGAGCAAACAGG